CUUUGACAAUCGUCAUCAGAUGAUACUCCUAGGAUAUUAUGUUAGACAAUACAUGCAUUUUUUGUUCUAUCAAGUUCAUAUUUAUAUCCAAAAACAGCAUUUUACAUUGGCGCGUGACGUUCAGAAAAUGUAUUUCCCCCAAAACCUACGGUGAAUCAGCACAACAAUUUACAAGAAUACUCAUUAUAAACGUUGAUAAAAUAUUAAACUGUUAUUCAAAGAAUUAUAGAUUAACAUCUCCUGAAUGCAACCGCAUUGACAGAUUUCAAAAUAACUUUACUGGGAAUGCACACUUUGCAAUAAUCUGAGUACUGCGCUACCGGGUUCUGCCUUUCGGGCUUCAUGGGGCACCAGCGACCUUUCAGCGACUCAUGGAUCGAGUCCUGCGGUCGCACAGUGAGUACGCAGCGGCGUAUCUGAAUGACAUAAUUGUGCACAGUGACAAUUGGGAGUCACAUCUGCGUAAGUUACAGGCCGUGAUUGAUGCGCUAAGGGAUGCAGGUCUGACCGCGAACCCCCACAAGUGCAAGCUGGGCUACACCGGAGUGGAGUACCUGGGAUAUCAGAUCGGGUGGGGAAAUGUGAAAUCCCCCCCCAAAAAUCGCUGCCAUUAGGGGAUGGCCGGUCCCCCGAACUAAGAGCUUCUCCCCUCACAGAUCUAUCAAAGGCACGACUACCCCAGACGGUGCAAUGGACGGAGGACACAGAGGAGGCGUUCCAGGCCCUGAAGGAUGUGCUAUGUUCGCACCCGGUACUCGUCACCCCGGACUUCUCAAAGAACCUCCUCGUCCAGACAGACGCGUCUGACACCGGGGUAGGGGCCGUUUUGUCCCAAGAGCAGGAAGAUGGGGAGCACCCCAUCAUGUAUGUCAGCAGGAAAUUCCUCCUGAGGGAGAAGACAUACUCAAUUGUCGAGGAGUGCCUCGCCGUGAAGUGGGCACUCGACACCCUCAAAUAUUACCUCCUCGGGAGGAAGUUCACCCUGAUCACUGACCAUGCCCCCCUCGUGUGGAUGGCACGAGGUAAGGACACGAAUAAGCGUGUCACCCACUGGUUCCUGUCCUUACAGCGAUUCUCUUUCUCUGUCAUCCACAGGUCAGGGGCCCAGCACGGAAAUGCGGACGCCCUAUCCAGGAGGGAUGCAAACCUAGCCCUGAGCAUGCCUCCCUCCCAGUUAGAGCUAAGGGGCUGUGUGUGUGGAAUCCCAGGAGGUCUACCCCGGGGGAUGGUAAUAGAGGGGAGGUACGUGAGACGACGUUGGCUCCCUCUGCUGGGGAUACGGGAGCUGGGCACCCCGACACGGACAUCUAUAAGUGGAGGUAAUUAGAGGAAAGUGCCAACCAGCCGUGGAGGCUAAAUAAAAGGAGCUCGAUGGCACACCGUGAGAGAGAAGGGGGAGAGACGGACACCAGUUAAGAGAGAGAAGAAAGACC
rnacentral:lncRNA from 1 species